GGGGCUCGCUCUUUCUGCAAGACGAUCGGCGGUGACCUUCUGACCUUCCACGAUGGCUUCAAGAAGUUCUACGAAAUCGUCCACCUCCUUCGCGAGCAGCAUAUUGCCUCGGACUUCUGGGUGGGAGGACACUUGAGGAACGAGACGGAAGGCUGGACAUGGGUAGAUAACGUCCCUAUGGAAUUGGGCACCCCCUUCUGGAGCCUCGGGUCAAAUGAAGAAUACUAAACCUCGCACCUACUCCGUCGGUCACAACACUACACGCGUUGUCAACGAGGGAACCUGUUACCGGUACCAGCAGGCGCCCCACACUCCUGCCGUUGGCCAUUGCGCCGCCCUCAACCAC
rnacentral:lncRNA from 1 species